CAAUAGCGUAUAUUAAAGUUGUUGCAGUUAAAAAGCUCGUAGUUGGAUUUGUGGCGUACGGUGUGUUCCGGGCACUUGUUGUAUGAGUAACCUGCUGUUGCCAUCCUUGGGUGGAACCUGUGUGGCAUUAGGUUGUCGUGCAGGGGAUGCCCAUCAUUUACUGUGAAAAAAUUAGAGUGUUCAAAGCAGGCUUAUGCCGUUGAAUAUAUUAGCAUGGAAUAAUGAGAUAGGACUUUCUUGCUAUUUUGUUGGUUUGCGCAAAGAGGUAAUGAUUAAUAGGGACAGUUGGGGGUAUUCGUAUUCCAUUGUCAGAGGUGAAAUUCUUGGAUUUUUGGAAGACGAACUACUGCGAAAGCAUUUACCAAGGAUGUUUUCAUUAA
rnacentral:rRNA from 1 species